rnacentral:lncRNA from 1 species
AGUUCCAGCAGGUCUAGGAAGCGGGGUUCAGCAAGCCCACGCCGGGCCUCCGAGUCCCCCUCCCCCUGACACCCCUGUCCCGGGGGUGAAGAAUGGGUUGGCGGGUUGUGCUGCGGGGACUCCCAGAGGAUGUGCGAGGCAGAAGAGGGUAGAAAGAGAACAAGCCAUUUUGCUCAUCAUCAACAAACCUUGACCAAGGAAGUGUCUGCGUGUGCAAUGUGCCAUCUGAACCCUGGAGGCAUAAGCAGUAUGGUCACUUGUCCCAGCAUUGUUGGGAAGUGAAAAUGUAUCCAUGGAAAGAGAGCAGAAAGAUAAGACUACGCCCCGGGGAUAAUGAAAAAGAGAGGACUUGACCGCUGAGGGAUGGAGUUCCAAGGAAGUCAGUCCUUGAUGGGGCCAAGCAGCAGGGGAAGACGGGCGCUAUCAGGCUGGGGACAGAGCCCAAGCCAAGACCCAGGUGUAUGAAUGGACAGGACCUGAGAUGACCCGGUGGGUCAAACUGUCUGACUGUAGAAGAGGAGCUGGGCAGAGAGCAGAGGUCCAGGGACAGGCCAAGGUUUGGAAUGCCAAGGUUUGGAAUUUAGGCUUGGCCCUGUGGGUAAUGGAGAGCUAUCAGUGGGUUUCAAGCAAAAGGGAGAUACCAAGUGCUGUGGCCAGCCAUGUUUCAGGAAGAUUGUUCUUGUCCACCUUUGUUUAUGUCAACCACAUUUAGAAGUAACAAAUGUCUGAUAGGGGGUCAGGUGCGGUGGCUUGUGCCUAUAGUGCCAGCUACUCAGGAGGCUGAGGCAGGAGGAUCGCUCAAGCCCAGGGAUUCAAGGAUGCUGUGAGCUACGAUCACGUCACUGCACUCCAGCCUGGGAAACAGGGUGAGACCCAGUUUCUAAAACAAACGAACAAACAAAUGUCUGAUGGGGAUGCAUCCUCCCAAUAGAAUACUAUUCAACCAUGGAUAAUGUGGGAAUAGAAUAUCUCUGUUGAUGUGAAAAGUUGUCCAAGACAGUUGAGUCAAAAAUAUCAGUAAGCAUAGUAAGAUCUUAUUUUUGUUUUAAAAAUCAUAUGCAUAAGUCCAGGCACGGUGGCUCACGCCUGUAAUCCCAGCAGUUUGGGAGGCCAAGGCAGGCAGAUCACUUGAGGUCAGGAGUUCGGGACCAGCCUGGCCAACAUGGUGAAACCCUGUCUCUACUAAAAAUACAAAAAUUAGCCGGGAGUGGUGGCGGGUGCCUGCAAUCCCAGACACUCAGGAGGCUGAGGCAGGAGAAUCGCUUGAACCUGGGAGGUGGAGGUUGCAGUGAGCCGAGAUCAUGCCACUGCACUUCAGCCUGGGCAACAGAGACUCCAUCUAAAAAAAAAAAAAAUUCAUAUGC